CUUUUAUAUUGACACUGCUUUACAACAUUGCUGAGUGGUGGAAGAGGAGUUGGAAAGACUUUUGACUUUUUACAGCUUUGUAAAUGAUGAUUUGCUCAGGAUGUCUCCAGAGUAGGGAAGAUGAUAUUGUGCUGGAUUUCAUUUGAUCCGUGUCGGUGGUUUCAUGACUGUGAGAACAGGGAAUGUGUUUUGUUUUCAAAUUAAAGGUUAUGUUUUUGUGUGGUGAGAUCCCAGACUCAAGGAGAAAUUUCUGCAGUGAUUUCUACAGUGAGCUAAAACCUACUGAGUGGUUGUGGGCCAAGAUCAAUGGUUGCAUUCCUGCUGCUGAGACUCUCCUGCCUUGGGACUCAUCUCUGGGCUGAGUCUACCACGAGAGACAUUGAAGGUAUAAAACUGGUCCUCAAGCCUGGGAAACCUCCUUCCCUGGUUUCUACAAAGAGCUACAUGAGCAUGAGGAAGGAUCCCUGUGAGAGCCUCAAGUCUGUGUUAUGGAGCAGAGGCUGGGCUCCAGGUUUUGUGCAUUGCUUUCUGCUGGUCUGUAAAACACAAACCCUGCCACCACACUUGCACUUGGAGCUCUGUCACACAGAGAUUAGUGUCUGUUGGCAUUGAGAUUGAGACAAUGUUUGUACUUUUUGUCUUGUAAAAUGUU